UUUUUCAUUUCUGUCAGGUUUGAACAACUGCUAUUGCACGCACAUCACAGUGGCGAGCAAGAUGAAUAAUUAAUGAUUCGUUAAGGCAUUAUCAAUCAAAUCUGAAGAAGAAAAAGAACAGCCAAACAUAACUGGAUUUAGUACAUCAAUAGCUAUCCUCUUUUCAAAUAAUAUACGUAUUUAUCAAAACAAUACACUGCAGCAAACUUAUCAGCAACGUACUUACUGCAAUGCACUUUCUUCAAAUAAGCAAUAUUUCCAAGAAAUUUUUACAAAAAGUGCGGCGUCUCCUGGCCAGUUAACAUUCGAAACAUAGAUGUUCGCAUUGUUUUCAUAUGUAUUUCGCCUACAGCUGUGGCCAACAUGGUUACCACUUUUUCAUGUGGAACAGCCACUGCACUUUGACCAUUGAUCUCAAUAAUGCGAUGGCCAACACGUAUACCACCCCUUUCAGCAAUGCCACCCCGAAGCAAACUGCAAAUUACACCAUUUUGCACGCUAAAACCAAGCUGAUAUUUCGUGUCCGGACGUUUGAUACGAACUUCUACAACUGGUGGCGUUUGAACAAUGGUAAUUUUGACGGCUGUCAGUGAACGAGCAUCCUUGAUAUGAUUCUGGCAUAUAUUCAAAGGCAAACCGACAAACGAGAUUCCAUUCAACGCGAUGAUGUGGUCUCCGAUGUUAAUCUUUUUACAUCUAGCUGCUGCACCUUCUGGCAACAUGUUCGCAAUCACCACCGUCGGCAACAUGCUUCCCCAUCCGGACUCAACAACUGCUACACCCAAAGGCUCGUCUUUCCGUUUCGGUAUAACAAUAUCUUUCUGAGUCUCUCUGUUAGAAAACAUUUCCAACUCAUCGCAAUAAAUUUCUUGGGAAUUCAAAACUUGCUGGUAAUCAAGCUCUUUGACAUAAGUCGGAUCGUCAAUUCCUCGAGAACGCAAAAAUUCCAUAUAUGCAACUUGAAAAGCUUGACCAAUCGACUGAGCUAUAAACUGCGCCUCUUCCGAUUCGAACACAUGACAAAUCAUCUUCGGCACUGCCAGAAUACCAUGUGAAGCAGUGAACCAAAAGUCAGGUUAAGGUGCCAGACAUUGGCGCUCAUGAAAUACCAGAAAAGGUGUUGGUCGAUAUAGACAGCAGGACGGUGGCCAUGGAAGUUGGAAUCCGCCAAGGAGUGUGUAACAACUCACCUGCCGAAUCGACUAGCCCUGAAAAUGGAUAGCGUUUGAGCGCCAGGCCCAUACCUGACCGUCUCAAUUACGCACUUUUUUUCGGAAAAGGUGUAAUGAACGUUGAGACGGGUAGGAAGGUCGCGACAGUGUUGCUUUGAAGAGUUUUGAGCGUGAGCUCGCUCGGAGCCGCUGUUGGUGCAGAUCUUGGUGGUAGUAGCAAAUAUUCAAGUGAGAACCUUGAAGGCUGAAGUGGAGCAAGGUUCCAUGUGAACAGCAGUUGGACAUGGGUCAGUCGAUCCUAAGAAAACGGCGAAAGCUUGUUCGAAUUUGCGACAUGAAUUGUAAGACUGUGUGUGUUUAUUGUGUGUGCAGUUGUCGUAUGUUUUCGAAAGGGAAUCCGGUUGAUAUUCCGGAACCGAGUAACGGAGACAAAGAGUAGCGCUUUAAUCUCUCUGUGGGGUUGGCGUUCAACUCAAUCGCGCGGUAACGCAAGCGAACUCGGAAAAUGACCGUCGUGAGUUUCGAAAAGAGUUUUCUUUUCUUUUUAAGGGACGCAUUCCCUGGAACCGGGUUGUCCGGAGAUAGGGAUUCUGGUAUCCAUAAAACGCCGACUUUUUCACGGUGUUCGGAGCGCUCUCGUCGGUACGUGAAAAUCCGAGCGACGCCUGGUAAAUCUCGUACUUGGUCGUACUGAUAUCCGCAGCAGGUCUCCAAGGUGAAUAGCCUCUGGCCGAUAGAAUAAUGUAGGUAAGGGAAGUCGGCAAAACGGAUCCGUAACUUCGGAACAAGGAUUGGCUCUAAGGGCUGGGCCGAUCGGGCUGAGGUUUCAAGCGUGCAGUGUAUGCUUGGCUGAGUUGUGUUGAGGACUUGUUCACUUGCCGCCGUUUGUUCGGUUGGUCUAGUGUAUUCGAGUCUGAAGCAGAGCUGGCCGACAGACCGGCACGUGCAGAACCUGAGCUGCGCGGCUGUCCGUUUACGUGUACAGACCGUUUCGGUCGGCAUUCAACAGCCAACUUAGAACUGGCACGGACACAAGGAAUCUGACUGUAUAAUUAAAACAAAGCAUUGCGAUGGCCGAUGAUCGGUGAUGACGCAAUGUGAUUUCUGCCCAGUGCUCUGAAUGUCAAAGUGAAGAAAUUCAAUCAAGCGCGGGUAAACGGCGGGAGUAACUAUGACUCUCUUAAGGUAGCCAAAUGCCUCGUCAUCUAAUUAGUGACGCGUAUGAAUGGAUCAACAAGAUUCCUUCUGUCCCUAUCUACUAUCUAGCGAAACCACAGCCAAGGGAACGGGCUUGGCAAAAUCAGCGGGGAAAGAAGACCCUGUUGAGCUUGACUCUAGUCUGACUCUGUGAAGAGACAUGAAAGGUGUAGCAUAGGUGGAGAUUGUCAAAUUGCCAUCGUUCGCGCGGUGGUCCGGUGAUCGCCAAUGAAAUACCACUACUUUGAUCGUUUCUUUACUUAUUCGGUAAAGCGAAAAAAUUGUGGCCAAUUUGGCGGUGUUUAUGUCGCUGUUGGUCAUUGUUUUCAUGUUAGAUUGAAGCUUUGUUUACAGCCGUCGCUUUGUGUCGCCAUUUGACGCAUUGUUGUACUGGGUUAUCCCGGUGUGUGGUGUAGUCAGUAUGGAUGAUCCGUUGCCCAGUUCUUUCCCAUCUGAUAUUGCCAGACAUCGUGGAAAUACCAACCAAACGGAAUCAGAUCAGACCAAUAAAUUCCAUCUCCUCGAUCUUUCAUCCAAUCUUGAGAGACUCUAAUUUGUAGCAGACCGCCGGUAUAUUUGCGCCACGCAUCAGGUUUCAUGUCUGUCUUGCUCAUGGUACGUGGAUUGAAUGAAAAUACGCCUCUGUUUGGAGAAUUUCUAGCAAUCGAGCCAACCUGUUCAAAGCUGUGACCAAGUACAUCUUCCCAAUAACCCCACAAUGGCGAUAGGUUUGAAGUGAUUCGCUCCGGAAACAGUGUCAGACGGGGAGUUUGACUGGGGCGGUACAUCUGUUAAACGAUAACGCAGGUGUCCUAAGGUAAGCUCAGCGAGGACAGAAACCUCGCUUAGAGUAAACGGGCACAAGCUUACUUGAUUUUGAUUUCCAGUACGAAUAGAAACCGCGAAAGCGUGGCCUAUCGAUCCUUUUGAUUGUGUAGAUUU
rnacentral:rRNA from 1 species